rnacentral:misc_RNA from 1 species
GAACGCAUAUUGCACUUUCUGGUAUUCCGGAAAGUAUGCCUGUUUGAGGGUCAGUUAAAUAAAAAUCGGUGUUGUUGCUGCCUUUCGUGGUGACGCGUCGGAGUUGAGUUGUCUUACCUUCGGUUAAGUGACUUAAAAUUUUGCAUGAUUUUCGAACGUAUUUAAAUUUUUUUGUACGUGAGAUAUCGAAUAUUUUAUUAGGUUCGGUUAUCAUCAUGACUCGCGCCUAUAAUUUUCAUUAAAUGACCUCAAAUCAGGUAAGAAUACCCGCUGAACUUA